rnacentral:rRNA from 1 species
CUCUGUGACUCCUACGGGGAGGCAGCAGUGGGGAAUAUUGCACAAUGGGGGAAACCCUGAUGCAGCCAUGCCGCGUGUGUGAAGAAGGCCUUCGGGUUGUAAAGCACUUUCAGUAGGGAGGAAGGUAGUGUAGUUAACACCUGCACUAUUUGACGUUACCUACAGAAGAAGCACCGGCUAACUCCGUGCCAGCAGCCGCGGUAAUACGGAGGGUGCGAGCGUUAAUCGGAAUUACUGGGCGUAAAGCGCAUGCAGGCGGCCUGUUAAGUCAGAUGUGAAAGCCCGGGGCUUAACCUCGGAAUUGCAUUUGAAACUGGCAGGCUAGAGUCUUGUAGAGGGGGGUAGGAAUUUCAGGUGUAGCGGUGAAAUGCGUAGAGAUCUGAAGGAAUACCAGUGGCGAAGGCGGCCCCCCUGGACAAAGACUGACGCUCAGAUGCGAAAGCGUGGGGAGCAAACAGGAUUAGAUACCCUGGUAG